AUGGACACAUUCAACCACUCCUUCCUGUAUGAUUAUUGAAGUUAAGCAACAUUGAGCCUUGUUAGUAACUAGAUGGGUGACUGCUUGGGAAUACCAGGUGCUGUAAG